rnacentral:sRNA from 1 species
GGCCAACAAGCUCUCCGAAGUGAUAACAAUUUAUCGAUUGGUCACCAAACUGAUAGAAGGCGUUUGCCAAUCGAACAGCACCGGCCGCACCGCCGCCGAUCAAAAUGUGAAAAAUUCGCGAAAAAUGGUGAUCACACUGUCUCAGAUGUACAAAUUGAUGGCACAAUUCGCGAUUUUGCUGAAAAAUGCGCUUUUGUUGGUUGGAAGAG